rnacentral:rRNA from 1 species
UACGAGGGGGGCAAAUGUUGUUCGGAAUCACUGGGCGUAAAGGGAGCGUAGGCGGGUUCUUAAGUAAGGUGUUUAAUCCCGGGGCCCAACCCCGGACCGGCACUUUAAACUGGGAAUCUUGAAUAGUGGAGAGGUCGGUGGAAUUGGGGGUGUAGCGGUGGAAUGCGUAGAGAUCCCCAAGAACACCAGUUGCGAAGGCGGCCGACUGGACACAUAUUGACGCUGAGGCUCGAAGGCCAGGGGAGCGAACAGG